rnacentral:rRNA from 1 species
CAGCUUGUUGGUGGGGUGAUGGCCUACCAAGGCUUCGACGGGUAGCCGGCCUGAGAGGGCGUCCGGCCACACUGGGACUGAGACACGGCCCAGACUCCUACGGGAGGCAGCAGUGGGGAAUAUUGCGCAAUGGGCGGAAGCCUGACGCAGCGACGCCGCGUGGGGGAUGACGGCCUUCGGGUUGUAAACCUCUUUCGACCUCGACGAAGCGUUUCGGCGUGACGGUAGGGGUGGAAGAAGCACCGGCCAACUACGUGCCAGCAGCCGCGGUAAUACGUAGGGUGCGAGCGUUGUCCGGAAUUAUUGGGCGUAAAGAGCUCGUAGGCGGUGUGUUACGUCGGCCGUGAAAACCUGCAGCUUAACUGUGGGCGUGCGGUCGACACGGGCAUCACUGGAGUUCGGCAGGGGAGACUGGAAUUCCUGGUGUAGCGGUGAAAUGCGCAGAUAUCAGGAGGAACACCGGUGGCGAAGGC